GGUGAUCUAGCCAUGGGCAGGUUGAAGGUUGGGUAACACUAACUGGAGGACCGAACCGACUAAUGUUGAAAAAUUAGCGGAUGACCUGUGGCUGGGGGUGAAAGGCCAAUCAAACCGGGAGAUAGCUGGUUCUCCCCGAAAGCUAUUUAGGUAGCGCCUCGUGAACUCAUCUCCGGGGGUAGAGCACUGUUUCGGCUAGGGGGCCAUCCCGGCUUACCAACCCGAUGCAAACUGCGAAUACCGGAGAAUGUUAUCACGGGAGACACACGGCGGGUGCUAACGUCCGUCGUGAAGAGGGAAACAACCCAGACCGCCAGCUAAGGUCCCAAAGUCAUGGUUAAGUGGGAAACGAUGUGGGAAGGCCCAGACAGCCAGGAUGUUGGCUUAGAAGCAGCCAUCAUUUAAAGAAAGCGUAAUAGCUCACUGGUCGAGUCGGCCUGCGCGGAAGAUGUAACGGGGCUAAACCAUGCACCGAAGCUGCGGCAGCGACGCUGAUGCGUUGUUGGGUAGGGGAGCGUUCUGUAAGCCUGUGAAGGUGGCCUGUGAGGGUUGCUGGAGGUAUCAGAAGUGCGAAUGCUGACAUAAGUAACGAUAAAGCGGGUGAAAAGCCCGCUCGCCGGAAGACCAAGGGUUCCUGUCCAACGUUAAUCGGGGCAGGGUGAGUCGACCCCUAAGGCGAGGCCGAAAGGCGUAGUCGAUGGGAAACGGGUUAAUAUUCCCGUACUUGGUGUUACUGCGAAGGGGGGACGGAGAAGGCUAUGUUGGCCGGGCGACGGUUGUCCCGGUUUAAGCGUGUAGGUGUGUGUUCCAGGUAAAUCCGGUUCACUUUAACACUGAGGCGUGAUGACGAGGCACUACGGUGCUGAAGCAACAAAUGCCCUGCUUCCAGGAAAAGCCUCUAAGCAUCAGGUAACAUCAAAUCGUACCCCAAACCGACACAGGUGGUCAGGUAGAGAAUACCAAGGCGCUUGAGAGAACUCGGGUGAAGGAACUAGGCAAAAUGGUGCCGUAACUUCGGGAGAAGGCACGCUGACACGUAGGUGAAGUGAUUUACUCAUGGAGCUGAAGUCAGUCGAAGAUACCAGCUGGCUGCAACUGUUUAUUAAAAACACAGCACUGUGCAAACACGAAAGUGGACGUAUACGGUGUGACGCCUGCCCGGUGCCGGAAGGUUAAUUGAUGGGGUCAGCGCAAGCGAAGCUCCUGAUCGAAGCCCCGGUAAACGGCGGCCGUAACUAUAACGGUCCUAAGGUAGCGAAAUUCCUUGUCGGGUAAGUUCCGACCUGCACGAAUGGCGUAAUGAUGGCCAGGCUGUCUCCACCCGAGACUCAGUGAAAUUGAACUCGCUGUGAAGAUGCAGUGUACCCGCGGCAAGACGGAAAGACCCCGUGAACCUUUACUAUAGCUUGACACUGAACAUUGAGCCUUGAUGUGUAGGAUAGGUGGGAGGCUUUGAAGUGUGGACGCCAGUCUGCAUGGAGCCGGCCUUGAAAUACCACCCUUUAAUGUUUGAUGUUCUAACGUGGACCCGUGAUCCGGGUUGCGGACAGUGUCUGGUGGGUAGUUUGACUGGGGCGGUCUCCUCCUAAAGAGUAACGGAGGAGCACGAAGGUUGGCUAAUCCUGGUCGGACAUCAGGAGGUUAGUGCAAUGGCAUAAGCCAGCUUGACUGCGAGCGUGACGGCGCGAGCAGGUGCGAAAGCAGGUCAUAGUGAUCCGGUGGUUCUGAAUGGAAGGGCCAUCGCUCAACGGAUAAAAGGUACUCCGGGGAUAACAGGCUGAUACCGCCCAAGAGUUCAUAUCGACGGCGGUGUUUGGCACCUCGAUGUCGGCUCAUCACAUCCUGGGGCUGAAGUAGGUCCCAAGGGUAUGGCUGUUCGCCAUUUAAAGUGGUACGCGAGCUGGGUUUAGAACGUCGUGAGACAGUUCGGUCCCUAUCUGCCGUGGGCGCUGGAGAACUGAGGGGGGCUGCUCCUAGUACGAGAGGACCGGAGUGGACGCAUCACUGGUGUUCGGGUUGUCAUGCCAAUGGCACUGCCCGGUAGCUAAAUGCGGAAGAGAUAAGUGCUGAAAGCAUCUAAGCACGAAACUUGCCCCGAGAUGAGUUCUCCCUGAGACUUUAGGUCUCCUGAAGGAACGUUGAAGACGACGACGUUGAUAGGCCGGGUGUGUAAGCGCAGCGAUGCGUUGAGCUAACCGGUACUAAUGAACCGUGAGGCUUAACCUUACA
rnacentral:rRNA from 1 species